UCAUUAGUAAAAAAAUGAAGGAAAUGGGACAGAAUUCAUUUUGAAUCCGUCGUCCUACCUUGGCAACGUAUCCCUAAUUUGCGUUGGACAUAGACUUUCUUAUUGAAAGUCUUUAUGUUGGGAAUCCGGGACUAGAAUUGAAAAAAGCUUGAUACAAGCGUAUUUUUACUUCAGUCAUCGACUGCCAAUAUAUUAAAAAUGCCUAAGACAAUUCAUU
rnacentral:ncRNA from 1 species